rnacentral:rRNA from 1 species
AUUGAACGCUGGCGGCAUGCCUUACACAUGCAAGUCGAACGGCAGCACGGGUGCUUGCCCCUGGUGGCGAGUGGCGAACGGGUGAGUAAUACAUCGGAACAUGUCCUGUAGUGGGGGAUAGCCCGGCGAAAGCCGGAUUAAUACCGCAUACGAUCUACGGCUGAAAGCGGGGGACCUUCGGGCCUCGCGCUAUCGGGUUGGCCGAUGGCUGAUUAGCUAGUUGGUGGGGUAAAGGCCUACCAAGGCGACGAUCAGUAGCUGGUCCGAGAGGACGACCAGCCACACUGGGACUGAGACACGGCCCAGACUCCUACGGGAGGCAGCAGUGGGGAAUUUUGGACAAUGGGCGAAAGCCUGAUCCAGCAAUGCCGCGUGUGUGAAGAAGGCCUUCGGGUUGUAAAGCACUUUUGUCCGGAAAGAAAUCCUUGGCUCUAAUACAGUCGGGGGAUGACGGUACCGGAAGAAUAAGCACCGGCUAACUACGUG